rnacentral:RNase_P_RNA from 1 species
CGAGUCGGCCGGGCGGCCGCGUCGGGUCUUCGGGCCCGCCGAGGAAAGUCCGGGCUCCACAGGGCGAGGUGGUGGGUAACACCCACCCGGGGCGACCCGCGGGAAAGUGCCACAGAGAACAGACAGCCCGGCCCUCGGGCCAGGUGAUGGUGAAACGGUGGUGUAAGAGACCACCAGCACCCCAGGUGACUGGGGUGGCUCGGCAAACCCCACCCGGAGCAAGGCCAAGAGGGGCGAGCACUUCGGUGCUCGCCCUGCGCAGGCGCUCGAGGACUGCCCGUCCGAGCCUGCGGGUAGGCCGCACGAGACCGCCGGUGACGGUGGUCCUAGAUGGAUGGCCGCCGGCCUGCGUGAGCAGGUCACAGAACCCGGCUUACAGGCCGGCUCGUCCA